UACGAAGGGGGCUAGCGUUGCUCGGAAUCACUGGGCGUAAAGGGUGCGUAGGCGGGUCUUUAAGUCAGGGGUGAAAUCCUGGAGCUCAACUCCAGAACUGCCUUUGAUACUGGAGAGCUUGAGUCCGGAAGAGGUGAGUGGAACUCCGAGUGUAGAGGUGAAAUUCGUAGAUAUUCGGAAGAACACCAGUGGCGAAGGCGGCUCACUGGUCCGGUACCGACGCUGAUGUGCGAAAGCGUGGGGAGCAAACAGG
rnacentral:rRNA from 1 species